UCCUGGCUGAGGGUCGCG
rnacentral:rRNA from 1 species